rnacentral:rRNA from 1 species
AGCACUCCGCCUGGGGACUACGGUCGCAAGACUAAAACUCAAAGGAAUUGACGGGGACCCGCACAAGCGGUGGAGCAUGUGGUUUAAUUCGAUGCAACGCGAAAAACCUUACCACUCCUUGACAUGGAGAUUAGAUCCUUCUUAACGGAAGGGCGCAGUUCGGCUGGAUCUCGCACAGGUGCUGCAUGGCUGUCGUCAGCUCGUGUCGUGAGAUGUUGGGUUAAGUCCCGCAACGAGCGUAACCCUCAUCCUUAGUUGCCAGCGGGUAAUGCCGGGCACUUUAAGGAAACUGCCGGUGGUAAACUGGAGGAAGGUGGGGAUGAUGUCAAGUCAGCACGGCCCUUAUGGGGUGGGCUACACACGUGCUACAAUGGUGACUACAAUAGGUUGCAAUGUCGCAAGGCUGAGCUAAUCCGUAAAAGUCAUCUCAGUUCGGAUUGUCCUCUGCAACUCGAGGGCAUGAAGUCGGAAUCGCUAGUAAUCGUGGAUCAGCAUGCCACGGUGAAUACGUUCUCGGGUCUUGUACACACUGCCCGUCACGCCAUGGGAAUUGGCUUAACUCGAAGCUGGUGCGCUAACCGAAAGGAAACCAGCCA